GUUUAUUUGUCACUCCAAGGUUACUAUCAUGCUGUUUUUUAGAUUAAGCACUCAUGUGAGCUUUCAGCAAUGGGCAUAGCUUGGACUGCAUGCUGGGAGCCUCCCCCUAUCCUGCUGAAGGCACUCAGCAAGCCAGAGCCCUGCAUGGCCACAGAUACCUCACUUGGUCCAGCCGUUUUGCCUAAUGCACCUGAGAACAAGAUCAAAGAAAAUUCAAUUUAUGCUAAUGGGUGGCAUCACUUAUUCUGAAGUUUCCCGUCUGG
ensembl:lncRNA